GCUGAGGUAGCACAACUGGUAAAUGCAGGAAUCUUAUACAUUCAAGACAGUGGGUUCAAGUCCUACCCUCAGUA
rnacentral:tRNA from 1 species